UGGCUCAGUGGUUAGAGCACUGGCUGCUCUUCCAGAGGACCUGGGUUUGAGUCCCAG
rnacentral:tRNA from 1 species